GACCGGCAUGGCGGCCGCCUCGGCGCUGCCGGCCCGGGCCCGGCGUACGGGGAGCGGCGCGGUUACCCUCGUGAGGCCGGCUCGGGACGGGACGGGCCCGGCCGGCGGGCCGCCUCGGUACUCGCAGGUCAGCGGCGGGGGAGCGCCUUCCCUGUGCUGGGAGCGGGGCUGCCCGGCCCUUCCUCGGGGGCUGCCCGGCUCUUGACGAGCUCCGCGGCGGGGCUGGGUCGGGGGCUGCGGGGCGCCGUGGGGACGGAUCCGCAAAGCUGGCAGGACUCGGCAGUGGGGAUGUUUGGUCUGAGGACGAGCUGAGGAGGGAAGCAGUUUGUAAACGAGUGGAAUUAGAGUGAGGAAAUUCUGCAACGCGAAGCUGGGAGACUGCAUCGACAGAAGGGAGGCUUGGAACAUCCAUGUGCCAACAAGAUGAAGUAAAGCAAAGAUUAAUGGGAUUUGGUGAUGCAAAUAGAAGGCAGUGGUGAUCUCUGCAAGUAGAGCUCCCCGGCUUGGCAGCGAAUUAGGGGUCGGAGCGGUAGGCAGCAGGAUGGCGGCAUGCUGCUGCUGUGAGGGGGCUCAGAAAGUACGUGAGUGAAAAGGCCGUCCUCUGGAACUGCUACGGGAGGGCCUCCGCUGGCUGUGCAAAAUACUGAUGUCAGAUUGCAUGGCUGCCUGAGACCGUAUCCUUAUCUGCGGCCCAACUGAUUGCCCACACUCAGAUAAACGGUUCUGAACAGACGCAGAAUAGGGCUGUGGAUGUUAAGAGGAAUGAAGAGUCUGCGUGCUGGGAGACACAACAGUUGGAAGUUGUGCGUUUUUUAUGUAUGGGAGGAAAGGAACUUGCAAGCUCGAGGUUAGCAGAAGCAAGCUAAAAAAAAGUGAGCACAGUUUACUGGAAAUGGCAAGAAAAGUUCUCACUGUUGUUCUGUAAAUGCUCUGGAGAGGUUUCAAAUGGGCAGGAAAACUGAAUUGCUUUUAAAAUAAAGUUUGAAAAAAUCAGAAAAGAUGAGUGUGUGGUUCUGCAGAGCAGUGGGGAGUUUGGCUCAGGAAUGCUGGAUGUCCCAUCUGUUAGUUCAGUGCUCUCGUGACCCGGCAAAAUGGACUAUGAGAUGGAUGAGUACUUCUGCAGUGGGCCCAUUGUGGUACGGCUGUUGUCGUCAUGCUUUCCUUUUCCAUUAUUCAAGUUCUUUUUCUUUGGGAUCCUUACCAGAAGCAGAGUAGUUCAAUUAUAUUCACUACCAGAUGCCUCUCGUGUGUAUGUUCGGCAGUACGCUAACAGAAAGGAAGCUGUGUUCUUUACCUUGCUCACUUCACCGUGUGAAGUCUCUGUACAUUUCCACUCUUAUAUAUGGAAUAACUGUCGAGGUGUACUCACACAGCUCUGCAGGACUUUCUGUCCCCGGGUGUGCUAUUCGUAGAAGUCCUCGUGGAACAAUUUUUAGGAAAAUAUUUAAAUGAAAAACUUGAAGUCAUCUGGGGCAAGGCAAUAUUGCAUUCAUGAAUGUAUGUAUAAUCAGCUCCCUUGGGAUGUUACCUGAGACUUAUAUCUAUUUUCUGCUUUUAUUUUUAGAGUCUGUGGUUUUCACGUACCACGCUUAGUGCAGCACCAACAGAUUAACAGAAGAACCUUGAAAUUGCAGAAUGUUGCUCCUCACACCAAGGCUGCCAUGGUCCAGGCAGACAUUUUAGAUUCUUACCUGGCACCAUUGCUAUCUGGGGUAUCUCCACAACACAGGAAAUUAAACGAUCAUUGCUCAGCCAUCGUUUUUCAUUUUAUCUGCUAGUCCACAACUGACCCAGGUUAUUCAGAGAGAAGAAAAAAAUGUUUUAUGGAGGUAGCAUCCCAUUCAGUGGUCAGUAGAAAACUAAGUGAGCGAAUCGCUCUCUUCAUCAACGCAUGCGUUAAGUGCUUCCAGUGGCUCUUCUUCUAGUUGCUGAAACCGAGUAGUGAAUGGAUUAUAGGGAUUAAACUUCUUUCAUUCCCCUAGAGGUGAGCAAGUCAUGUGAAAAUGAAAGGCUUAUUUGGUAGAAGACAGUAUGAAAGACUGGGAAUACAAAAAUAUAUAUGUAUUAUCUCUAAAUGGCUUCUUGCACACUUUGUCUAUAAUAGAUGGUAGUAUGUGAGCUGCAGACAGAAACUUGAGGCUCGCAGGGCAGAAAUGUGACUGUGAACUGAAUCUACGAGUAUGGAAUGAAACAUGCUUGGUCAUUAUUGAAACUGGAUUUCUGAAACAUUUUUCUUUCAUCAUAAAUCUGAUAUUUCUGAAGAAAAACAUACCUGUUCUUAGCAUAUGCUUUCUCUUUUUCUUCUCUUGACCUAUUUGAAUUAGGAGGAAGUUGCCUUUCCCACUGUAGUGCUGGGAACACAGUAUAAGGGCUACAGCAAAGGAAUAUUUUCUGUCUUGAAGUGCUCAGGUCAUCCUGCAAGGCAUUCCGCUGCAAAAGGAGUCACUUUCACCGGUGUCACCAGUUACUGUCGUCCUCUUAUGCUGAUGUUUCCAGAGGGGUGGCGUUUCAUACCCCCUGAAUAGGUGGCCUUCUACAUGGGAGCGUUAUUCUGGUGUCUUUUGUCUCUUAUGUAGUUUACUUCCUCAUGUUCCGAGAAUGAAAAACAGUCAAAGGAGAGGAAACGAUAGACUAGCUCCCUUAGAAGAGCCUCUCCUAGGAAAAAAUAGCUCAGAACCCCUAAAAUGAUCAUACAGUUGGUAGAAAAGCUGCUGGAUGUUGUCGUUAUAGCAGCAUCUACAGGAAUAGAAAUAGCAAGAAGAGAAGAGGAAGGCUGGCAUUCCCUCGCUCUCUCUCCAACUUGUGAAAAUUUUAGGAAGGAAAUUUACAUAUUUUGGAGCUACAUUUUCUGCAGUGCCUUCUUAUGCAGAAGGAAAGUUAAUCAAGCUAUCUUAUUAGAUAAAAGUAUUUUCUGUACUUGUUUCAGAGAGGUGGUGGUCGUUUCUGUGGAAGGGGUUCAAAUGAUUAGCACCAUUCUUAACUGUUGUAUUCAGGGAGAUGACAGCUUGAUUUAAACUAUGAAGGUGUGAUGAGUUUUGCUCUCCCACCGUCAUGCACAAAGAAGCACUCAGAGAGGACAGACUUAACUGGUUUGAGCCAGGCAGCGGUCUGCUACCAUAAAUUCCCCAACAUUGUAUUGCCCUCUGAUGCUUCAGUUACAAUCCCUGAAUGGAAGACUGGAGCAUGUGGUUGUCUUUUUGGCAUCUGAAGCUGAGGCUGCCGAGUUGCCUGCCUGGGACAUUAGUGAGACUAUCUGCCUCUUAAGGAUACGCAACAGAUUUUCUCUUAGCUCCUGUCCCUACUAGUGCUCUUCUUAGCUUCUGUCCCUACUAGUGCUCUACUUAACUCUGUGCCAAGACACUGGCAGCGGUCAAUACAGAAAAACUUCUGGAAGUACCAGGUUGUGGCAGGGCACCAGAACCAUCCAGCAUGUGAAUGUUUGAGGAGGCGCUGGAGGAACAAGGACUUCCCUAAAGGAUGUGACAGCAAAGCUACUCCACUGGAAUAUGGAAGAAGGGAAGCAGUUAUGUGGAAGAGAUGAAGUGCCGUGUGAUUCCUGUCCCACGGAUAGGAUCCAGCUGGUGCUAGACAAAGUCUGUCAGUGACAGCACUUGGAUUGGAUGGAGUUGGGCCACCUUCCAUGCGAUGGAGCAACGUAGCUAAGCUGUAGGUUGCCUUAUGCUUGCAACACUGCAACCCCGAGGAAGUCUGCAUCUGCAGAGAUCUGCCUUCAUGCCUGGACUGAUAAGCGACGCUGGGGAAGCGUCUUGGCCAGAUGCUGCUGCAGUAUCCCGCCUCCUCAUCGCAUCGCCCUCUGGAAGACAGAAGUGACGAUCAGCAGCGUGGUGUUGUCCUGCAGGCAGCUGAAGAACCACUUUGACAGCAAGCAGGAGAACAACUAUGCAGUGUAAUCACAGCCUGUCUGUGCUCUUUCUAACAGUGUACAUGAGCACCCUAUUCCCAGCGAGGGGAUGCUGUAACCUCCCCCUGCUGACCUGUAUUCUUCUCCGUUACUGUAACCAAGCUGUUUCUUUCCCACGGCCACGCGUUCCUGCAGAUAUACCAAGGGUUCCCAUGCAGAUAGGUUUACAAAUUCAGGAAGGGCUUGGACAGAGCAAAAGGAGAAUGAAGUAAUUCCCAAAUAUUUGCACUGUGGCUGAUGAAAUUAGCAGGAGAGCUGAGUGGGUGUAUAGGGGUCUGCUGGGGGACGGAUGGAAGGAAACCUGGGGACAAACUGUCUGCUGUUCGACGUGCUCUGAGUGCUGUGUGAUAAAGGUGAAUCACCCAGCUUAGCUGCAGGUGAGCCAGCAGGACAGUGGCUGGGGCCGAGUCCCACUGCAGCCUGUGUGGGGGCUGUGUGCUGGGUCCGGUGGGCUUUGAAUCCCACCACAAAGACAGUGGCUGUCGACAAGGUCACGAACGCAGAGCUUCGCCUUCUGUUGAUUAUGUGGUUGUCAGUGGAAGAAUUACUGUGUAUCUAUGGGAAAUGUUAAAAAACAACAACGCCUUUUUUUCUUGAAUAAAUCUGUGAAACGAA